CAAAACAUAGCUUUUAGAACUCAUUAAAAGUUACGUCUGCCCAGUGACCAAAAGUUUAACGGCCGCGUUUAGUGCUAAGGUAGCAUAAUCAUUUGCCUUUUUAUUGGAGGCUAGUAUGAAUGGAUUAACGAAGCUUAACUGUCUCAAAUUAUUAUAUUUAAAUUGAUUUAAAGGUGAAAAAUCCUUUAUUCAAGUGAAAGACGAGAAGACCCUAUAGAGUUUUAGUAAAAUCUUCUAAACACUACCUAAAGAAAAUUUACUUUUAUUGGGGCAAUAAAAGAACAAAUAAAACUCUUAGUAAAAGUUUACUAUAGUAAAAGACCCUCAAAGAGAAAAAAGAAAAACUACCUUAGGGAUAACAGCGUUAUUCUUCCAGAGAGAUCUAAUCGAAGGAAGAGUUUGCGACCUCGAUGUUGGACUAAGGUAACUAUUAAGUGCAGAAGCUUAACUAAGUAGGCCUGUUCGGCCUUUAAUUCCUUACAUGAUUG
rnacentral:rRNA from 1 species